rnacentral:rRNA from 1 species
GUGGGGAAUAUUGGGCAAUGGGCGAAAGCCUGACCCAGCAACGCCGCGUGAGGGAAGAAGGCCUUCGGGUUGUAAACCUCUGUCCUUGGUGACGAAACAAAUGACGGUAGCCAAGGAGGAAGCCCCGGCUAACUACGUGCCAGCAGCCGCGGUAAUACGUAGGGGGCGAGCGUUGUCCGGAAUUACUGGGCGUAAAGGGUGCGUAGGUGGCCUUUUAAGGUGGAUGUGAAAUACCCGGGCUUAACUUGGGGGGUGCAUCUAAUACUGGAGGGCUAGAGUGCAGGAGAGGGAAGCGGAAUUCCUAGUGUAGCGGUGAAAUGCGUAGAUAUUAGGAGGAACACCAGUGGCGAAGGCGGCUUUCUGGACUGUAACUGACACUGAGGCACGAAAGCGUGGGGAGCAAACAGGAUUAGAUACCCGUGUAGUCC